rnacentral:pre_miRNA from 1 species
AGUGGAAUAGUUGGGUCAAAUGAUGGUUCCAUUCCGUUUUCUAAGGAAUCUUCAUACUGCUUUCCAGAUUGGUUGCACCAUUUUGCAGUCCCACCAAUAAU